CGCAGCUCGGGCGCCGAGGGAAGGGGGAGCACGCGAGUGCGAGCCGGCAGCCAAUCCAGCGAGGCGGAGGGCGGGGCCGCGCGUCGCGCUGACCAACCGGGUGGCGCACGUCCGCCUCGCGUGCCCCUAACUGACAGCGCGCGGGAAGCUCCAGCGCGGUUCUCGCUGCGGUGGGGUCCCCGCCCUCCACACUGGUCUCUCUCCUCCGAGAGCCCCGUGGUUUCUGUAGGGAAACCGAGGAUUUCCUCCAGUUCUCCAUGGCAUUCCCCACUUUCUCGUGGCUGGUUCUGGAAGAUUACUGGUUAACCCGAAACUGGCUGUGAUGUGAUAUGGUGAAAGAAAUGAUGGGCACCCAGGAACUGACAGCCAGGCUGGCCGUGCUGGCCCCAUCUCAGCUUGGAAGGAAUUUGGUAGUAAAGCCAAUCUGUGGAUGACAGCUUCCAAUCUCAGUUCUCCAGUGCAUCCUCUGCAAUAAAGGACAUGUCA